GGGGACGACUUGGCUUCGACGCGGGUUGCGAAACUUGAGGUGCAUGCCGAGGGACAGAAUUACCUCGUAAAUCCAGUCUGUAAACUUAUAGUUGCCAACGACGACAACUACGCACUAGCUGCUUAAAAACCAGUGUAGUGCCUUCGGCCUGAUGUGUGUCUGUACGCUCAGAUCACCGGAGUCAUCCCAUACAGAAUCGCGAUGAAGCACGUUCAGGGUGGAUUCGCUAAAACUUAACUGAACUCGCUGUUUGUCUUCCCUGCCCGUCGGGUAGCAAACCGUUAAACUUAAAGGCGCGGAUAAGCAUGUAGAGCCAACAGCAGAGGAUCUGCGGACGCGGGUUCGAUUCCCGCCGUCUCCACCA
rnacentral:tmRNA from 1 species